rnacentral:rRNA from 1 species
GAUGAACGCUGGCGGCGUGCCUAAUACAUGCAAGUCGAACGCUGGAAAUCUAGCUUGCUAGAUUGAAGGAGUGGCGAACGGGUGAGUAAUACAUAAGCAACCUACCCACGAAGACUGGGAUAAUCUCUGGAAACGGGGACUAAUACCGGAUAGGUAAUCGGAAGGCAUCUUCUGAUUAUUAAAGGUUAAAAACACUGGUGGAUGGGCUUAUGGCGCAUUAGUUAGUUGGUGAGGUAACGGCCCACCAAGACGAUGAUGCGUAGCCGGCCUGAGAGGGUGAACGGCCACAUUGGGACUGAGACACGGCCCAGACUCCUACGGGAGGCAGCAGUAGGGAAUUUUCGGCAAUGGGGGAAACCCUGACCGAGCAACGCCGCGUGAGUGAUGACGGCCUUCGGGUUGUAAAGCUCUGUUGUAAGGGAAGAACGGUAGAUAGAGAAUAUCUAAGUGACGGUACCUUACCAGAAA